rnacentral:rRNA from 1 species
GACGAACGCUGGCGGCGUGCUUAAUACAUGCAAGUCGAGCGAGGCCUUGGAAUUGGAGUCCUUCGGGAUGAAGAGUCCUUGGCCUAGCGGCGGACGGGUGAGUAACGCGUGGGCAACCUACCCCAAAGUCCGGGAUAACAGUGGGAAACCGCUGCUAAUACCGGAUGGCUUUACCUGAGGGCAUCCUCGGGUAAAGAAAGGUUACGCUUUGGGAUGGGCCCGCGUCCCAUUAGCUAGUUGGUGAGGUAACGGCUCACCAAGGCCACGAUGGGUAGCCGGCCUGAGAGGGUGAACGGCCACACUGGGACUGAGACACGGCCCAGACUCCUACGGGAGGCAGCAGUAGGGAAUAUUGCGCAAUGGGCGGAAGCCUGACGCAGCGACGCCGCGUGAGCGAAGAAGGCCUUCGGGUCGUAAAGCUCUGUCCGUUGGGGAAGAAGGCGAAAGCUUGACGGUACCCAAGAAGAAAGCCCCGGCUAACUACGUG